rnacentral:rRNA from 1 species
UACGUAGGGGGCAAGCGUUGUCCGGAAUCAUUGGGCGUAAAGCGCGUGUAGGCGGCUCGGUAAGUCUGCUGUGAAAGUCCAGGGCUCAACCCUGGAAGGCCGGUGGAAACUGUCGGGCUAGAGUCCGGAAGAGGCGAGUGGAAUUCCCGGUGUAGCGGUGAAAUGCGCAGAUAUCGGGAGGAACACCAAUGGCGAAGGCAGCUCGCUGGGACGGUACUGACGCUGAGACGCGAAAGCGUGGGGAGCAAACAGG